rnacentral:rRNA from 1 species
UACAGAGGGGGCAAGCGUUAUUCGGAAUUAUUGGGCGUAAAGGGCGCGUAGGCGGCCUGACAAGUGGAAGGUGAAAUCCCUCGGCUUAACCGAGGAACUGCCCUCCAAACUGUUUGGCUUGAGUCCGGGAGAGGUGAGUGGAAUUCCCAGUGUAGCGGUGAAAUGCGUAGAUAUUGGGAGGAACACCAGUGGCGAAGGCGGCUCACUGGACCGGAACUGACGCUGAGGCGCGAAAGCGUGGGGAGCAAACAGGAUUAGAUACCCGGGUAGU